rnacentral:rRNA from 1 species
UACGAGAGGUGCAAGCGUUAUUCGGAAUUAUUGGGCGUAAAGGGUGCGUAGGCGGCAUGUUAAGUCUGUUGUUAAAUUUCCCGGCCCAACCGGGAGUCAGCGGCAGAUACUGAUGUGCUAGAGGAUGGAAGAGAGAAGUGGAAUUCUUGGAGUAGCGGUAAAAUGCGUAGAUCUCAAGAGGAACACCGAUGGCGAAGGCAGCUUCUUGGUCCAUUUCUGACGCUAAUGCACGAAAGCGUGGGGAGCAAACAGG